UCAAGGUUAGCUCAGUUGGCAGAGCGCUGCACUGGAAACGAAGUGUUCCCUGGUUCAAUACCAGGACCAGGCG
rnacentral:tRNA from 1 species